GUUGAAAUGACCGUCGUAGUAGUAAGCAAUUAUGUAGGCAACCGUGUUCAAGACUAAUGAGAAAGCUCGUGAGGUAUAUAUAAUCAGCUGUACAGAAAGUGUCGACGUGGAAAAAAAAACGUUAAACCAUCCAACAUGUCCAAACGAGAAAAGUAACGCCUUAUUUAUAACAAAACUAUUUACGAAAAUUAACAAAUAUGCAAGACAGACAACAUACAGCGAACCAACGACAACCACCGGACUACAGGCUGAAUUUGGACAGGCCCAUACAUAAUGUUGAAGGGAUAAACAUGUCUGUUAGCGUUCAACCCUUCCUGAAUCUUGGACAGCGAUGUAACAACACAACAUAUAAAGAACACACAGUAAAUAAUAAUGAAACUCGCG
rnacentral:lncRNA from 1 species